UACGAAGGGGGGCUAGCGUUGCUCGGAAUUACUGGGCGUAAAGCGCACGUAGGCGGCUUCUUAAGUCGGUGGUGAAAUCCUGGAGCUCAACUCCAGAACUGCCUUCGAUACUGGGAAGCUCGAGUCCGGGAGAGGUGAGUGGAACUGCGAGUGUAGAGGUGAAAUUCGUAGAUAUUCGCAAGAACACCAGUGGCGAAGGCGGCUCACUGGCCCGGUACUGACGCUGAGGUGCGAAAGCGUGGGGAGCAAACAGG
rnacentral:rRNA from 1 species